rnacentral:misc_RNA from 1 species
UCCGGUUUAACACCGGCAGUCCCCUUAGAGUCCCCAACUUAAUGCUGGUAACUAAGGGCAAGGGUUGCGCUCGUUGCGGGACUUAACCCAACAUCCUACGACACGAGCUGACGACAGCCAUGCAGCACCUAUCUUGGUGUCUCCGAAGAGAAAGUAUCAUCUCUGAUAUUGUCACCAGAUGUUAAGCCCAGGUAAGGUUCUGCGCGUUGCUUCGAAUUAAACCACAUACUCCACCGCUUGUGCGGGCCCCCGUCAAUUCCUUUGAGUUUUAGCCUUGCGGCCGUACUCCCCAGGCGGGAUACUUAAUGCGUGAACUUCGGUACUCAGAGGGUUAAUACUCCGAACACCUAGUAUCCAUCGUUUACGGCGUGGACUAC